rnacentral:ribozyme from 1 species
ACUCGUCAGAGCGAGUAUAAAUAGCUUUUUAGGCUCUGAAGCGUACC